UCACUGGUCUCCCGGACACCGGUCAACUCCACCCGUAGGCAAGGGCUGAGUCCACACCGCUUCCUCCCCUGUUCGGUGUCCGCGCUUUGUGACUAAUCCGGUCUCCUGGCUUUGGUUCCCCGUUGUGCCCCGAUCUGCAGAGGCAGAGCUCCCGUCACUCUAGACUUAAAUAAACCUUUUGUGAUCUGAA